UACGGGGGGGGCAAGCGUUGUUCGGAAUUACUGGGCGUAAAGGGCUCGUAGGCGGCCAACUAAGUCAGACGUGAAAUCCCUCGGCUUAACCGGGGAACUGCGUCUGAUACUGGAUGGCUUGAGAUUGGGAGAGGGAUGCGGAAUUCCAGGUGUAGCGGUGAAAUGCGUAGAUAUCUGGAGGAACACCGGUGGCGAAGGCGGCAUCCUGGACCGGCAUUGACGCUGAACGGCGAAAGCUAGGGGAGCAAACGGG
rnacentral:rRNA from 1 species